UCCUUUCCUGGUCCCGGUGUUCUCUGUGGAUUCCUCUGUGACGCAGCAGUACGUACCUGCUUGUGGCCGAAGCCUUCCAACUCCUCAGUCGCUGGAUCAUUGUCAGCCGUCAGCUCGCCCUCCACACAGCCAUCUUACUUGUUGGUCCUCCCACGGUCCUUGGUUCUCCUCGCCGCCACCAGGUUCCCAUCUGCUCCUAUAAGUAACUCACCCAGCUCUAAAUGGCUACUCUGGUGGUACCGAUCCUGAUUCCUGCACCACACUCACUCCCUUUCCCCUUCCCCGUUUCAAUAAACUAUAUUAUUGUUUUGAAAUACGC